CACACUCAAGAUUUAAGAAACCUAAAAUUCGGCAACCUGAAAAAAAUCCAGUUGAUUAUUGUUCCGCCCUGUUGCCUCUUGCCCAAAAAAGCACCACCACCAUAUACCAAGUAAAUCCUUAGUAGACAUACUCGAAGCUGUGAUCGAAUCAGCGGAUAUUUUUACAGAGUCUCAAGCUGGUUACUUACUUGGGGUUCUGCUUAUCAGUCAAGUUUGAGAACGCUGUUGCGUUGAAGUCUUCCUCGGUGACGGCACCCCUGCUCUCCCUUAACUUCUCCUUCUUCUUGUUCUCCCACAUAAAGGCGUAUCGGAAAGCGAAGAAGAGGAGGAAUUCCAGGCAGUUGCAAACAAGAAUAGAACCAAUACCAAGGGUGUAUCUGGGUGCUUGUUCAGACUUGUAGAACUGUCCAGGGGUCAGCAUUCAUUGACCCGCUUACAAAAAUUGUAAAUGAUACGCACGAAUGGACCAGCAAUGUUACCAACACAAGCUCCCAGCCAGAUAACACCAGAUACAAUCAUCUUCUUACUCUGACCACCAGUGUUGGAAGUGAUAAGGGAGAGGGAGAGCACAAAGGACGCUUGGUAUGAACCGGUAAGAUAACUUGAUGAUGGCAUGGAUCAGCCCUCGUUAUCUGCCUCUUCAAUGACAGAAAACACUUACAAGCAGAUCAACCUUCCAACGUAUGCAUCAUGGGGAGCCAACAAGAAACCAAGAGCACCGGCAAUGGUGGGCAGCAUGAACAAUGCGCAAACAUAAGUUCGAGAGUUCUUGGGGAGACGACCAUUGAUGAUGGCACCGGCACCGAUCCAAAUCAUGAUCAGAACACCCUGGGGGAUACCAAGAAGAGCGGUGUGAAGCGUGUCUACAAAUAGCCAGUUUAAUGAAUCAGCACAUUGUAGCGAUGAGUUGAAUGGAAAAGACAUAUCCAUUGGGAAUGUUACCUGUAAAUGAGCAAGUCAGUUACGGAGUUCCAUUGUGAGGCUGGGAGAAAACAUACCAAGCAAUCCUAACAAGAAGAACAUGUACUACGCAGAAAUGUUAGAACUGGUCGUCUUUUUUUCUUUCAAGUGACCUACAGUCUUGUAAUCGGUCACUGCUUCCACAAUCUGGUCCCACUUAAUUGUCUUGCUUUCGAUACCAGUCUGGUUCUUCCUCAUUCUCGCGAUCAUCAACACCCUCUCGUCUCGCGAAAAGCCACGGAAAGACACUGGGGAGUUUGGAAGGUAGAGGGCGAGACAGAUGGCCCAGAAGGAACAGACAGCACCGACGAUGAGGAACUCAUAGCGCCAUGUGGCGAGCGAACCCUUAAUUUGACCUAAUGACCGAAAGUCAGCAAAAAAAAUCUCCAAUUGCAGAGACAGAUGCGGGCUUACCAAUACCGUAACCGAUGAGACCGCCACCAGCGACACCAAGACCGUUGAACGCAUACCAAGAUGAAAUCCUUGAAGGUUGCUCCUCCCUCGUGUAGUACAUGGAGGUGAUCAACAUGAAACUGGAGUAUUUAUUAGUCCCCAACCUUGAACAGUUUAAAAACUCGGGCACUCACCAAGGAUCAGCAAUAGCCUCAGCAGCUCCGGAAAUAACUCGCAAGGCAGCAAUGGUCGCAUAAUUAUGCGACGCCGCUUGGCACAUAAGGAAGGCGCCCCAUAAGAAGAUGUUGAAUGCCAGGUAGUAAGCUGGGGGAGAACGCUGAAGCAAAAGGUUCGAUGGGAUAGCCCAACCAAGCCAGCCAAAGUAGAAAAUACUUGAGAGCCACGAGUACUUGGAUCCACCCAGGUUAAGGUCUUCCUUAAUACCGAAAAUUGCAGCGUACGACAAUGUGGUCUUGUCCACAUACUGAGGAAUAACUUAUACCGAGGAGAGGAAUGAUCCGCUUGUCAAGCUUUCUUUUUAAUUUCUUCUCGUCCUCCGGAUCGAUCGAAUUAUCCUGUCCAUAUCUCUCCAAUGCCUCAGCAUACAGUUCGCCGUGCUCCUGCCUGACAAGCUCAAUCGGGUCGACAAUAUCGUCACCUGCCUUGUUUGCGGCAACAGUGUCUUCAACGUGAGCAUCGAAUUCUUUCUCCGUCGUGUCGGCAAUGUCGAGCUUUUGGCAAGGAACAGUUGUCUUCUUCAGAAAACACGUUACAUGCAAAAUGCCUGGAGGAUAUAUACGUCCCGAACUCCAAAGAGAUGGUGGAGCAGAAAAACAAAAGCAACCCGAAUCAGUCUCCCGACUUUGGCAAUGUCGCCCCGGACCGUAUCAGGGAUGUCUCAGGGUGGUCCCCGGAGGGACCCCGGACCGCGGAUUGUCCAACCCCAA
rnacentral:sRNA from 1 species